AUUGAAGGUAUUUAUGCCCGAGAUGAAAUGGAGCUCUACUUAGGCAAGAGAUGUGCUUAUGUGUAUAAAGCAAAAAAAACAAUACAGUGACUCCUGGAGGCAAACCAAACACAACCAGAGCGAUCUGGGGAAAGUAACUCGGGCCCACGGAAACAGUGGCAUGGUUCGUGCCAAAUUCAGAAGCAACCUUCCUGCAAAAGCCAUUGGACACAGAAUCCGUGUGAUGCUGUAUCCACCCCGGAUUUAA
rnacentral:lncRNA from 1 species